GAGUAAGAAAGCUUGGGCUGAUUGUGAUUUUGUGGCUUCUUGUAAAUCCUGCUUGCUUUCAUCUAGCCACAAUUCAGCCUGAUUUUGAGUCAUCCAGGUUUCCAUUGCAAACCCGGAAGUUCAUUUUUAAUAUCACUCUACAGGUGGAAAGAAAUUGGACCUUUUACUCUUCACGUCUAUCCUCCCUGAGUGAAAAUUCAUUUUCUUUGCGUUCCUUCAUCACUUCCAUGUGGUCUUUUAAAUUACGUAUUUAUCACAAGAGCUGGUCCAGAAAAGUCUACCUCAGUGCUUUAAUAAGGCCAAAGAGAAACAUCACCUGGUAGGUAAGAAUACAGUAUGUUGUGUUAGUAUAUAUGGCUGAAUGCUAAGCAGUAUCAACACAGGUCAAGGAUGCAAUUUUUAAAGUGACACCUCAAUCUUGAUAUUAAGAAUAAUCUUUGAUUUGUAACAGUGGCUGUCAACUAACGGUAUGCCAAAUGAGUCUAGGCAGGGCAUAAAUUCCAUCCUUAAAUUGAGAAACACGAGAGGGGUGAGAGCAGGUGGUCUCCAGUUGAGUAUGCCAAAACAAAGGAACCGAGUACAUCUUGGCAGAACAUUUUGGUGAAGUCUAGGACUGGAACAGCUACUGAAAGAUUAUGGCUUAGGAGCCAAAAUAAUAUUUUGCACUGAUUAGCUAACUUAAUGUUUGUUUUAACCUGAGUUUAGAAAAAGAUAAUUACUAGAAAAUAUUGCUUUGCUCACAAUUAGUUAUAUUUUAGUUACAAAAAGUAUUGUAAAUAGUAUCAAUGCAUUUUUAAAAGGCUUACUAUAAGUGAUAAGCUUAACAGAAUGCCUAUAAACCACGGUUUUUUGCUUAUCUUAUUAGAACCCAAAUUUGUUGAAAACAAAUGGCUGAGAAACAUUAAAUUGGAAGAUAUUUCAGAAAAACUUACAUGAGCAACAUGUUUUAAGUCGCUAUAGCAACACAACUAAUACAAAAAAAGCAUUUUAAAAGAUAGUAUCUUUAUCAAGGAAACACACUGAAAGUUGUUAUCAACCAGAUAUGUUCUUAAAACUAAUCUACAGAUUAUCAUUCUGCAAAAUGCUACAACCAAGAUAACAAUGCUUGCUUCACUGAAAGAUGGUCAAUACAGGCAGGACUAUUUGAAUCAAGAUACAAUAUUGUGAGCAUUCAAGAGACAAUAAAAUCAAGAAGUUGUUCCCUUUGCUCCUGUAUGUGCCUCUUCUUUCUGUUACGUCAGCCUGAAGUGAUUCACAUUUUCUAGCAGGACAAAGCCAGCUCCCUAUACUUUUCAUAUUCCUCCAGUAGUAAAUGAUGGAAGACAGACAUUGGCAAAAGUAGUGUAAUUCCUGUGCAAUAUUCAAAUAGAGCUUCAUAUACCCUUACGUCAGCUAUGAAUUAGCUUUAUGUUACAAGCAUUCCAAGUUUUGAAUCAAUAAAGCAAUACAUAUAUAUAGCAAGACUCCCUUAGCACUGAUUUUCAGGAAGGGAAAAUGAGUAACUGAAGUAAAUUGCAACCACUCCCAAAGUUACAACAUUACAAAACAUGAAAAGAAUUAUACGAAACAGACUUCUCAAUCUCAGAUGUUUAAUUAUGAAUCCUUGAGAACACAAUGCCAUUAACCAAUAUUUAUAUAUAUUAUUACUAGAAUGUAAGGUUUACCAAUCCUAACCAAUAUCCUAACCAAUCUGUUUUGCAGUUCUUAUAUUAAGUAAACGACUUCCUCUAAAGACUUUAAAAAAGGUUCCCUUUCAACUUCCUUCUACUACCCCAAAAUUGUUUUCAAAUUGGAAUUUGAAUUAACAAGCUGACAUCAUGUCUCCUUAUGUCAAAAUGUCCUGCUAAUAUAAUGUAGUAAGAACAUGCAAAGAUUAGCCGUUUAUGAUAUGGGCCAUAAAGCAGCAGUGUUGCAGAAAACAAUUUUAGUUAACCAAUUGACUUAAGGACUUAAGAAACGAAGUUUCUAAACUCAUGGGCACCUGAACACAAUUGAUAAUUAAAAAAUCCCUCAGUUCUAGAUUUCCCUAUUUGACUGAACUUGACAAUAUUCAGCACUGUCAAUUUUGGUAGUUACUUCAUCCACUGUUGAAUUUAUGUGGAAUCAAAAGAAGUGCUUUUAGUGUCAAUCAAUUGAAAAAGCUCUAUAUAUUCCAUGUCUGAAAUUAGGAGAAAAUAUAAAAAGCUAAACUUUCAUUUUCUAGUUUUAGCAGAAAUUUUUGUGUAUCUCCUCCAUUUUUAAUACAUCUCUCCUAUUUCUGCCUCUUACUACUUUAUACUUCAAAAAGACUUGAAUUAAAUGACUUAUGCAGAUGCCCAGUGUUCUUGCCUUACAUAAAGCAGUUUGUUUAAAGUCCUCUGAUGGAAUUUUCCAGAAGAACUUGUUCCUCAAACUUCCUGAAAUGGCUUGCUAAAAAGCACAGCACUUGUUUUCCUUCCUUCUGUUGCUCAGACAGUUCCCUUAUGUAAUCAAUUAGGGUAACAAUUCUUGGAAUGCAAUUACAGCAAUUUUGUUUAUAGCAGAAGAUACCAGAGAAAGCAGGGCAUUCAGAGAACUUUAUUCCACCUAGUGGUAGAAAUAUAUUCUACCAUGUAGUGUUAUUUGAAAAGCUAAUGUCACAACAUAAAUUGACUAAUGAAAGUUAUCAAAAAUCCGAAUUCCACAACUGGUACUGAGUCAAAACUUAAGACAAAUAUCUUGGUAUGUCCUUUAGUAAGUUAAGUAGGGGUUCUAUAAUGUAAUUGAAAAGCAUUAAAACCUCAAUUCUUAUAAAACUUCAAAAAGCAAUCUAAUUAAACUUCUUGGUAUGACAAUGGAAAAUGUUUUGUUGUUAUGGUCAAAUUCAAUAAUUCACAUCCACAUGCAGUUGUAGAGAAUAUAUUUAUUGUUUUGGUGCCUAUUUGUGAAACUGGUGUGAGUUUAUCUCAAAAGAGAAUCCUACUGAACCAGACUUCCAAUAAGACGGAUGACAUAUAAGUAUACCCAAAAGAAGGUUCUGUAUUGCCCAUGCAAUUCCAAGUUAGUGACAUAAUUAUCUAGCUCCACAUGACAUUUAAAUAAUUCUGCAAUCCUAGAUCUAUAUUUUAAAACAUACACUAUUUUACAGUACUGAAAACAAGAUUUCUGACAGAAGACCAUAUGGCAAAAGAGUAUAUAUACAAUGAGGCUUUUUCCCGAACUGAGUAAACUGCAAAAGGAUUGUUAAGUGGUCAAAAGUUUAUUUUUAAUCAGAAAGUUAAAAUGACCAGCCAAUAUAAUCUUCAUCUAGACAAUCUAGACUUCAGUUGUAAGUUUGCAUAUAUACCUGGAAAAAUUUGAAUUGAUUCCAGCAAAGAAUAGCUAGAUUAUGGGUUGAACUGAAAUCCAAUGAGGGGCUACAUCAAACAUUUAGCUGCAAAUAAUUUGAUGGGGGAGGACUUUUUUUGAGUGGAAGUACCUCAGUAUUGUUGCACCAUUCCUCUAAGACAGUGCUGGUGAUCUUUUUGUUGUUGUGUGCCGAAAGUGCGUGUGAGCGCAUGCAUAAUGCAAUGCACGCACGACCCCCACCCCGUGCAUGCACGUGGGACCCCCGCACUCCUCCUGCCCCCUGUGCAUGAGCCUCUUGCAUGUGCCCUGCCCCCCCACGCAUGCACACCAGAUACCUAAAAAUUAGCUGAUUGGUGGGAGGUGCAUGCGCAGGGGAACUGAGCUAGGGCGACAGCUUGUGUGCCCAUAGAGAUGGCUCUGCGUUCCACUUCCGGCACGCAUGCCAUAGGUUCGCCAUCAUGGCUCUAAAAUGCCGGUUCAGCAUGAUUAACCUGAGUUUCCCUCUUGUUCUAAAAGUAUGCCUAGUGAAUUACCCUGAAUUUGUCAGUUGAUUAUUCUAGAAGAGUUAGCAUAAUCUUGUUUUCUGGUAAUUGACCUGGAGACACUUAUCAGAGAAAUACUGUGCAAGAGCUCUCAAAUACUCAGCCAGCAUUCUGGGACUCAACUUUUCUCGGUUUUCCCAUGUUUCAAAUAACCCUGGGAAAUCAUUCACCAUACUCAUCACUGAGUAUCCUGAGGUUGUCAGAGAAACAGUCCAGGUGAAAGUCCAAGAAAUGAACUUUUAAAGACAUGUUACAUUCUAUUGCUUAGUAUUUUUGGAUUUCUUGCUUUAUUAUUCCCCCACAUUGUUUGUCAACAAAUGAGAUAUGUUUUGGCCAUUCUGAGCUUCAUUAGGUUUUCUUCUUAUUGUCCUACUCAUGGAAAAAACACCUUGCCUUGUGCAUCCAAAUUGCAGGUUGAGAGAAGUAUAGUGACUUUCAGAUCUCCAAAGACACUCCAUAUAUAUUUUUCACACUGGAUCUUUUUUUCUUGUCCUCUUAUAACUCUUUCCUGUUAGCAGCAUGGCCAACUUGUGGACAAUAAAUUAUUCUCAUUAUGAAAAACAGCCUUCUGGCUUAACUUUCAAGGAGCCAAUGUUUUACACUGUGUUCAUGGCCAAGAGCCUCUAUAACUGAAUAAACAUAUUUACAAAAUAGUACAUCUUAUUGGGAGAAUAUAUUGUUACAUUCAUUAUGGCGGCUAUGAAAGGGAAAAAACCCUUAAGUAUCAUGACAGUGAAGAUUCCAUUUCAUUUUGUUCUUAAAAGUUCAUCCUGCUUCUAAGACAGCUUCAAAUCAUGAACAAGAUUGUUCAGAUCUCCUUGCAUCAACAUAUGUGGCUCAUUUCAGAUAACCUAAAAUGUUAGAUCAGAAUUAAGAUUUUCCUUUUCUGCUUUACUUAAACAGAUGGUAAAAUGGGGUAUUUCAUAGUGUGGUUACUUUAGAGGUGAUCCCUGUUGUGUUUGUUAGGCAGAAAUAAUACAAAUUGGGAUGGUGGGGUGGUUGAUUCCUCCAAACUAAACAUAACUGAUACAUAUACGUUAUUAUAGUUAACAUAAAGCACCAUGAUGUCACUAAUUGAACAGAAUAAUAGGGUCACAGAAAACUAAGCCCGAUAGAAAAAAAUUAACUUCAUUUUUGAAUUCAGCAUGAAAAAGGUUUAGAACACUUAUUACAAUUUUUGUGACAAAAUUGUUGACUGUGUUAUCUUUCCACCUGAUGUGUAUUUGAUCAAUGGACUUUGAUUAAUGGAGGAAAACUUGGUUCUUCCCGCGGAAUUUGACCACUGCUCUUCAAUAAAUGCGUACCUGGAAAAAUAAUUUAAAAACCUACUAAGCAGAGUGAAAUACUGGAUAAGAAGCAAUGGAUGGAAACUGAUCAAGGAGAGAAGCCACCUACCAUAGAACUAAGGGAGAAAUUUCCUGACAGUGAGAACAAUUAAUCAGUGGCACAACUUGCUUUCAGAAGUUGUGAAUGCUCCAAUACUGGAAGUCUUUAAGAAGAAAUUGCACAACCAUUUAUCUGAAAUGGUGUAGGUUUCCUACCUGAGCAAGGGGUUGGACUAGAAGACCUCUAAGGUCCCUUCCAACUGUUAUUAUGUUCUGUUCAUCAUAUUUGACUAACCUAAGAACUGAAUCUGAAAUUUAAUCUCCAAUUUUUAUUAUAUCAUAUUCCUGCUGCAGGCACUUAGGAGAAAAUCUGUGUUUUUCUCUCUGCUCCCCUAUUUUAUCCUUCCAACAUCCUUCAAUUAGUCAGGUUAAAUAAGAGUCAGUCUAGAGAUAUAUAUUUUGGUGAGUUUUAAUCCUGAGUCUUUACCCAAUCAUUCAUCACAUUUAGGCACUGAUCUUAUGGCAAUAAAACAUUUAGCAACUUUGUUGAGGCAAUGUUGGCCCUCUUUACAGAAGAGCUCCAAGACUGAGCACAAGGGCUCCCUGUGCCAAGGUGACCAUUUAAUUUAGCACUCCAUGAACAAAGAUAACCAGAUUAAUUUGUUAUCUACAGAACAGUAAGAGUGCAUAUAUAUAAUUCAAAACUGAUAUUCAGCUCCACUCUACAAAAAACAGCCAGUAUAGCUUGGUGGUCAAGAUUUUGGACUUGGAGGUAGGGGAGAUUGGUUCAGGGUCUUACUUAGCCAGAGUUCAUUGCAUGAUUUUAGACUAGUGAUUGCAAUCCAACCUAUUUCAUAGUUAUUAGUGGAUCUAAUAUUUGGAGAAAUCUUAAGGAAACUGCACAGAAAUCUUCAGAAACGUGAAUGCAAUAACACAUACCCGUGGUGCUAUGCGUA